UACGAAGGGUGCAAACGUUGCUCGGAAUUACUGGGCGUAAAGCGUGCGUAGACGGUUAUGUAAGUCAGAUGUGAAAGCCCCGGGCUCAACCUGGGAAUUGCAUUUGAGACUGCAUAGCUAGGGUGCGGAAGAGGGAAGCGGAAUUUCCGGUGUAGCGGUGAAAUGCGUAGAUAUCGGAAGGAACACCAGUGGCGAAAGCGGCUUCCUGGUCCAGCACCGACGUUCAGGCACGAAAGCGUGGGGAGCAAACAG
rnacentral:rRNA from 1 species